UGUAAAGAAAUCGAGUCGCCAAAAUUGUUGUGCUCAAACUGUCGUAAAAUAAUAAGCUUUAUUGAGAGUUUAAAGAGUUUUUGUCGAUUUCGCACAUGUGUCGGAUCGUAGUCAGCGCUCUUCUUUUGCAUGUGCGUGUGCAUUAAUAAAAUGUGAUCAGCUAAUUUUUGCAAAUUCUAAUGAUGCUCUUUGUUCUGUUAGGUGUGUGUGUAUUUGUGCGCAAAAAAUGGCGCUCGAGCAAGUAAAGUUGCAUCAAACAUGUUCGAUUGAGCGAAGAACUGUGAUGCUGGAAAUCGUUUUUAGAAUUACGAAUGAUAUUUGUCAACUUCAUUCGCUAUGCCUAGCAAGAUAAUUACAAUUUGUUAAUAUGCAUAAUUGAUUAUUGAGGUCGUUUAGUGCCUUUUUCUGUGUCAUUUGAGGGGCUGCAAUUAAUAGUCCAGUCGUAUACACAUACUUACAUACAAAUCAUGUAAAAUUGCUUCAAACAUGUUCGAUCCAGAAACUUUAAGCCUGUGUGAUUGCAUGAAACUUAAUUAGAUGAGUUUAGCCAUAUAAGUGCUUCGAAUAAUCUUCGUUUUCAGUGUUUAAUUGCCACUCAAACACAUGCGUAUGUAUGUAUGCUUGUAUUUAUAUGUACAUAUUUAUUCACAUGUGAAUUUGGCUGAGCAAAAUUGGAAGAACAACAGCAAAGUGGAUAGAGCAAAAGAGACAACGAAAUGCUGGGAGCACAAAACUAAACACGCUCCAGCCAAUCGCGUCGCGGCCGACGCAACGCGUGAAUUCGCAGUCGCUGUGAACAAAUUGUUGACCGCACGAUUCAGUGGCAAAACGAAGACUGAAAUCCGCCAGUUGGCGCACUCGUUAUUUUAUACGCUCGCAGCCGACAGGCUCACACACACACACGAACCAAGACAAAUUAACACGGACGCGAACCCAUCUGUGCUGUCAGCGUUGUAAGGCAGAGCGCACGACUGUUUACAGUCGCACAGGAGUUUUGUGUGCAACCAGAAUGGAGAGAACUUACCUUGGUUAGUCCGGCACUUGACUAGUACAUUGCCUGAUAUCAUCUUUAGUUGCGGCAUAGCCAGACCAGACCAGGCCAGCCAGAACUUGACUUUUUAGAGCUGGCCCAAACAGUUGCUAAAUCGUAAAAACCAAACCGGAAAAGGACGAACAUAAAAACUGGGCCGCUUCGUUCUUAGUGUCGCUCGCAACCGGCUUGUAAUAAUGCCACAGGAAUGUCAGCGCGUCAAGGAUUCUCAUAUUAAGGACAUUCAAUUGACAGCGACUGCUGUUGACGACAAUGGCAUAGGCAUAAAUUACCACUUAAUAAAAUAGUUGAGUUGAAAAGCGAAUGGUAAAAUGGGUGGUGGGAGGUGGUGAGUGAGAAGCUGGAAAGCUGCGAUACGGUUGUCUAUCAAAAUUUAAUAGCAAGCAUGACGAAAAUCGCAUGGAUUGAAAGGAAUGACUGACUCUAUCGGGUUUUCAUAUUAUUAAAUUAAGUUUUCAUAAGGGUUAUACGUAAAAGCAGCAAACAUAGCAGCAAUAACAAGCGAAAAAUAAACAAUAGAAGAGAUUUUCUUUUCUGAAAUAGAGAUCUGAGAUAUGGCAGAAAAAUUAUUUUAUUUUGUUGAGUACUAAAACAAAUAAGUGGAAAAGAUAGGAAAAAGUUGUUUAUAUGUUUAUAAAUCAUUUAAUAUAUAUAAGUCAUGCAAAUAAAUUAUUAAGUUAUAUAUGAAACUAAAUUUUCUGAUGAAUUGUAAUAGCUUAAACGGUUUGAUAUAUUUUCAAAGGACUUAUAUAUAUACAUAAAACUUUAAACUAAAGUAGAAUUACCAAAAUCUUAUUUAAUAAAUUUAAGCACAUAAGUGAAUCAGAA